GACAGAGGGUGCAAACGUUGUUCGGAAUUACUGGGCGUAAAGCGUGUGUAGGCGGCUAUGUAAGUCGGAUGUGAAAGCCCCAGGCUCAACCUGGGAAGUGCACUCGAUACUGCGUAGCUUGAGUACUGGAGAGGUUGGUGGAAUUCUCGGUGUAGAGGUGAAAUUCGUAGAUAUCGAGAGGAACACCGGUGGCGAAGGCGGCCAACUGGACAGAUACUGACGCUGAGACACGAAAGCGUGGGGAGCAAACAGG
rnacentral:rRNA from 1 species